rnacentral:rRNA from 1 species
GACGAACGCUGGCGGCGUGCUUAACACAUGCAAGUCGAACGGAAAGGCCCUGCUUUUGUGGGUUGCUCGAGUGGCGAACGGGUGAGUAACACGUGAGUAACCUGCCCUUGACUUUGGGAUAACUUCAGGAAACUGGGGCUCAUACCGGAUAGGAGCUCCUGCUGCAUGGUGGGCGUUGGAAAGUUUCGGCGGUUGGGGAUGGACUCGCGGCUUAUCAGCUUGUUGGUGGGGUAGUGGCUUACCAAGGCUUUGACGGGUAGCCGGCCUGAGAGGGUGACCGGCCACAUUGGGACUGAGAUACGGCCCAGACUCCUAAGGGAGGCAGCAGUGGGGAAUAUUGCACAAUGGGCGGAAGCCUGAUGCAGCAACGCCGCGUGCGGGAUGACGGCCUUAGGGUUGUAAACCGCUUUCGCCUGUGACGAAGCGUGAGUGACGGUAAUGUGUAAAGAAGCACCGGCUAACUACGUG